UACAGAGACUGCAAGCGUUAUUCGGAUUCACUGGGCGUAAAGGGUGCGCAGGCGGCCAAGUGUGUGAGGCGUGAAAGCCCGGGGCUUAACCCCGGAAUUGCACCUCAAACUACAUGGCUAGAGCAUUGGAGAGGGUAGCGGAAUUCACGGUGUAGCAGUGAAAUGCGUAGAUAUCGUGAGGAACACCAGAGGCGAAGGCGGCUACCUGGACAACUCCUGACGCUGAGGCACGAAAGCUAGGGGAGCAAACGGG
rnacentral:rRNA from 1 species